CGCUUCCAAGUUGUGUGCGUGUGCGUGUGUGUGUACCACCUUUGCGAUGAUAGAUUUAUCGAAAUUUAACUACGUACGUGUAACUUAACAUGUGCGUAGAAUGAUCAUUUGACGGUAAAUUUUACGAUCUUUCUAUGCUCUACAUCAGAAAAUUUCAUGAAAUUCUAUUCUGCUGAUCUACGUGUUACACUUGUGCGUACGACUAUAUACUUGGACGAUAGAGUGCGCACUGCCAUCUUGAUAGAUUGAACAGGAACAGGUGUCCUGCAAAAAUGUACUGUCCACGAGGGACAAACGAGACGGGAGUACCGGAAUAGAAUACGAGUACGGACUAGACAACAAACAGACAAUAGGUGUCCCCGCUAUCUCAACCCAAUCACGAUUUUUCCAGCACGGAAAACAUAAUGCACUUUAAACCAUGUAUGCAUGAUUGAUGUCUACGGGAGGCAAAGAGGAGACGAGACAAGAGACAAUCGGAGACAACCGGUGUCCCCACCAUUGUGUUCCAUGAUUUGUAGCAACUGCACCGUCAGGUCCAACAUAAUCGUAGUUGAGCAUACGCCGCAACGUUUCAGCUUGUUUGCCAACGAAGAGGAGAUUUUUGGUGGACUACAUUUCUCCGUCUAGACUACGUUUGCUCAAGUUCUUCGAACAUUUACUCGCGCCGAAACAAAUUCACGGAUCGAUAAAACUGCGAGUUUCCUGGAUUCUACGAAAUACGAAAUACGAAAAACCGUGAAAUCGUACGCACGUAUUGCGACACGGGACUCGGAGCUCGGGACUCGGAGCUCGGGACUCGGAGCUCGGGACUCGGAACUCGGAUCUCGGAUCUCGGGACCGCGCAAAAGAUAUUGCAACCCUCCGCGAUGUCGUAAUCGCUUUCGCACAAUUUCACGGUAUAAUAUCGAUAACGACUAAUCUCCUAAUAACUUUAGGCUUUCCAAGGCUGUCACCGCGUUAUCCCAGGAACGUCUGAGCAACCGCGGGCAAAUAUGUCGAUCGACCGGUAACUUUUAAGCCCCGAUGAUAAUCGAAACGCGAAAGACGGACACCGAUCGAUCAAGUUCGACGUGCACGUGUCGACGCGAAUCAAUAAAUUACGAAUACGCCAGCCCGUUGCGCGUGUCGAACGGAUUCCAGCAUUUUGGAAGAAUAGUUUCGAAGAGAAUACGUUCUCGCGUUACCGAUACCGAUCGAUUAUGAAACAACGAUUUCGACGCGACGGUACGGCCGUCCGAUAACGUUAGCUCGCCGAGCAGGAUCGAUGUUUUGAGAAAACACGAAACGAUUUGCGUCGCGCGAGGACGAAUACAGCGAAAUUUUCAUUAACGUUCGAACGUUAAUUCGUGUCGCGGAAGGCUCGCUCGACGGUGCAAAAUGCGAGUGCACGCGUAAGUCGCGCGUAAUCCGCAGUUACCAUCGUGAUUCGAGCUUUACCGAAAAACGUUGCGAAACGAGAAACCGAACGAGCAACGGACGAAAGCAACGAGCAAUAAAACGGGUAACCAACCCCGACCGGUAACCAGCAACGAGGAAUACAAAAAUAAGUGGAAAACUUUCGGCGAAGAGAAACGAAUCGCGAGGGUGCGCCGGUUCCGGGGAGAGACGCGCGUUCGACUUUUGUCGGUGACGCGGGGUGAACGGCGGCGCGGCCGGCACGACCGGCACGACCGGCACGACCGGCACGACCGGCACGACGGUCCGCGCGUCGUUGUCCAGCGAUUUCGAAUCGGACAGGGAAUUCGGCCGGGCUCGUUCGAAUCGGGAGCAUCGGCGAAUCGAGUACGGGCCGAACGACGACGGGAACGUUUCGCCGCGGAAAAGGGUAAGCGAAUAUCGGUUCGGGAUCUAUCGCCGCGAUAGAGAGACCCCCGGUAUCUGGCGGAGCGUCUGGAAAAGCGAGCGAUUCUCGAGAUGCGCACGGACGAUUAGGGUAUCGGAGCGGCGGGGACCCGCCGUUGGUCGGCGGUGCACACGAGGGAGGGGCCUGCAUCGGAGUCCAGGAACGAUACCGAAGCCGAAGCCGAAGCCGAAGCCGAAGCCGAGGCCGAAUGGCGCAGUGUUGGCCGGUGCGCGGCGCGAAACAGGUGAUAGAGUCGCGGUCGCGGUGCAUCGGGAAAUGACAGAUCGGAUAGGCCGAUUUUCGUUCGGUUCCCGCUCGGCGAUCAAAAUUUAACCCGCUCCUCCUCCUCCUCCUCCUCCUCCUCCUCCUCCUCGGUUCUCGCGACCAGUUUAAUAUUCCACGACCGUCCCGUGUCGCGCGUCCGAACUUUCGAUUCGACCGCCGAGACCUUGUUUCGCUCGACUCGCUUCGACUCGCGAGAACGCGAUCGAAUCGAAAUUGACGAAAGGUCGCUUCGCCGCGUCGCGACUAUGACGUUCUCGUCGAAUCUCGUUUCUUUACCGAGACCAGCUUCGACACGGUCGAGCGACCACCGCGAGUUCUUUUAACGCGGUCUUUGCGUCGAGUCGGUAAUUUUCGACUGUUCUCUCCCACCAACGCGCCGAACGCUCGCACGACUCGCGCGCGAUACGCGAUAAACCCGAACGGAAAAUCGAGGCACGUACCGCCGCGGUGCAUCGAGAUCUCGUUCUCGCUUUCGAAUCCUCCGAGUCCUCCGAGUCUCUUCGACUUUUGCCGGGUCUCGUUGUCCGGCGCGCGUUGAAAAUUCCACGAUACCGGAAACUCGCCGGCCGAAUGUACGCGUUUCUACCGCAAGCCCGACGUCGGAGCGCAAACAGGAAUCACGAGUAGUCUCUCGCAUCACGAGUAGCCGAGGAGUGCCGCUUCGAGGGGAACGUUGCUCGCGUUUCUACCUCGAAGGUGAGGAAAGGAUUCGGCUUCGUUGAACGAGCCACGAGCCACGAGCCACGAGCCACGAGCCACGAGCCACGAGCCACGAGUCACCGA